ACUCUUAUGUUUUCUAGCAUUAAAAUGUACCCUAACCCCGGGAGAAAUGAAAGCAGUGGGCAUUUAGAAUCAGCUUUAUGAUCAGCUUUUUCCUCCCCUCCCAUGAUAAAGGGAAUUUUGCAGAAAUCUGUUUAAAAGAGUCUCCCUAGCAAUUUUGCUGGUAUUAACUGAAGUAGCACUUGGACUCCACAAUGCUGUUUUACACAGUUUUCUGCUGUCUGUUCUUAGUACAGGUCAAAGGACAAUGCUUCACUAAGGAAGUCACAACUAUGAUACUUAAACUUAAUGAAAAACAAACCUGCGGGGGUGAAAAUUUUGCCAAUUCAAAUUUUCUUCCAACUAAAUGGACUGGGUGUAAGUGGUCAUGCCUUCACAAAGGAUUUGAAGACAUCCAGAAAUUAACCAGAACAAACAGCUGCACUACAAUUAUCCAGUCAAUUGAAAAUAGAACUGGCAGAAUAAAGAGACAGUGCACACCCACCAUUUGUCAAACAGAAUAUGAGACUGCUGCUACUAUUGGCAACAGAAGCGAAGCUGGAAGGUGUGUGCAUGCUACUACUGGGAACAUGACUGAAUUUUUAAAUGAGACAAUAAGAUACCUUCAAAUACUAAAUCAGUAGUAAAUUGAUAAUAUUUAUUAUAUUUAUCAUGUAAAAGCAUAUUUUUUUCUGGAAAACCAUAAAAUUACCACUCAUAUAAAGAAUAAAGUUCUCCCCAAAGUACA
rnacentral:lncRNA from 1 species